AUGAAUUACACUCUGAACUGCAAGAUGAAAGUCUUUCUUCUCAUGAUUUUAUACUUGGUCAAUUGCUCUGUUGCUAGGCGGCAUCAUUCACGCAGCAGUGGGUCUGACAGUAGUGAGAGUGGCCAACACCUGUGGAUUAGACCUUCAUUCAAUAUCUGUACUGUGUUUCCGAUUCUAUGUGCGCAACCACCUAUUCAGCCAUCAACAUCAACCACAACACAGACUUCCAGGACCACAAUCAUGUCUACUACUACAGCCCUGAGGGGAGACAGUCGGUGAAUAGCAUUGAUCUGAAAAAAAAAAAAAAAAGUAGCUGAUACUACUUUGGUUUUAACUUUCCAACAUAAGCAGCACAAAGCUGCAUAAUAAUAGGGAAAUGGAUGCUGUGAGAAUUAUGUCUGUUUUUUAGAUUUUGUAACCUUGAAGCCAGAAAUGAACCAAAUUUUAUUGCCAUUCAAAGAUAUUGCAUAUUGUGUUUGCAUAUUUUCACAUUUCAGUAUUGCAGCAUCCUUCAACCUCUCUUUACAAUGUUAUAUAUGUUUUGUUGAUCCUACUUAUUUGAAUGUUUUGUUUAAUUAAAAAAAAAAAAAAAACUUAUAUAACCAGUGAGGUUAUAUGUUGCACUGUGAUUUGAAACAUGUAACAUUUAGAGAGGCAUUCAGUCAGCAAGGUAAUGAUGAGUUUUGUUAGAGACUAGGCUUCCAGACAUUAGUGGGAGGGAUGCUGACGACAUGCAUGCGUAAUAUCCAGUAAGCGGGUACACACAACACCAACCCUAGAUCAACACAGCUUAAGUGAGGGAUGAUUGCUGAGCUGUUAAUGCAUGACUCUGUGCUUCAUGAGUUAAACACAUAGUACUGCUUUAUUUCUUCUUCACACACCCUCUUCAGCAGUAUUUUCACUGAUUGCACAGCACUGCUUGCUCUGCUGAUUUGACAAAAAAAGUAAUUAAGAUUGUCAUUAGCAUACACCCUUUUAACACAGCUAGCAUGGUCUCUUACUUUCUCUUUGGUGUGAGGUGUGCAUGAAUGUGCAUUAUCUCCUGUUUUGUGGAUGUCUGCCUAAUUUGCAAACUUGGUUAAUUUUGUAAACCAGCUGGCAACCAACUUUUAAAGUAUGCACUGAAUUAUAUGUAUUUUUCAUAAUUGUUGUAUUUGAUCCUUUGGUGAUUUUUUUUUCAAAAUAAAUUGCAAUUUGAAAAGAGAUCCUUGUUGUGGCAUACUGCACUUUUUAAUCUAUCUAUCUAUCUAUCUAUCUAUCUAUCUAUCUAUCUAUCUAUCUAUCUAUCUAUCUAUCUAUCUAUCUAUUAUUAUUAUUAUAUGUUAUUAAUAAUAGUAGUAUCUAUCGACAUAGUUAUACAGAUACUGUUAUUACUAAUAACAAUAUAUUAUCAUUUAUUAUUAUUUGGAUCCUGUACCCAAAUUGCCACUUGUCAGUAAUUUUUAUGUUUGCCGUUUUAGCAUAUGAUGUUGCAAACAAAACGUUGUGUCAGUUUAAAAUGAUGGAAAGAUAUUACUUUAUCAAAUGUUAAAAAAAAUGUGUGGUCAUACUUAUUACCUGUGUUUCCUUUAUUUUGUUAUUUGUUAUUGAGUGUUUGAUUAAAGAAGGUUGAUUCAAGGUGAUCUACAAAGGAAAAAAAAAAUUAAACAACAACUAAAAGUCAAGCUGGAUAGAAUUUAUACAUAUUAUAAUUACUUGCUCUACAAUUUUCUCUCACAUUUCAAAUACAUUUAGUGCAAAGUUAAGCAUUUGAGCUCAUCUUCAAAUUAAU
ensembl:lncRNA